UACAGAGGGUGCAAGCGUUAAUCGGAAUUACUGGGCGUAAAGCGCACGUAGGUGGCUUGAUAAGUUGGGUGUGAAAUCCCCGGGCUUAACCUGGGAAUUGCAUUCAAGACUGUCUUGCUAGAGUGUGGAAGAGGGAAGCGGAAUUCCAGGUGUAGCGGUGAAAUGCGUAGAUAUCUGGAGGAACAUCAGUGGCGAAGGCGGCUUCCUGGUCCAACGCUGACACUGAGGUGCGAAAGCGUGGGGAGCAAACAGG
rnacentral:rRNA from 1 species